GACGAACGCUGGCGGCGUGCCUAAUACAUGCAAGUAGAACGCUGAAGGAGGAGCUUGCUCUUCUGGAUGAGUUGCGAACGGGUGAGUAACGCGUAGGUAACCUGCCUGGUAGCGGGGGAUAACUAUUGGAAACGAUAGCUAAUACCGCAUAACAGUAGAUGUUGCAUGACAUUUACUUAAAAGGUGCAAUUGCAUCACUACCAGAUGGACCUGCGUUGUAUUAGCUAGUUGGUGGGGUAACGGCUCACAAAGGCGACGAUACAUAGCCGACCUGAGAGGGUGAUCGGCCACACUGGGACUGAGACACGGCCCAGACUCCUACGGGAGGCAGCAGUAGGGAAUCGUCGGCAAUGGACGGAAGUCUGACCGAGCAACGCCGCGUGAGUGAAGAAGGUUUUCGGAUCGUAAAGCUCUGUUGUAAGAGAAGAACGAGUGUGAGAGUGGAAAGUUCACACUGUGACGGUAUCUUACCAGAAAGGGACGGCUAACUACGUG
rnacentral:rRNA from 1 species